GAAAGCGUGGGGAGCGAACAGGAUUAGAUACCCUGGUAGUCCACGCCGUAAACGGUGGAUGCUGGAUGUGGGGACCAUUCCACGGUCUCCGUGUCGGAGCCAACGCGUUAAGCAUCCCGCCUGGGGAGUACGGCCGCAAGGCUAAAACUCAAAGAAAUUGACGGGGGCCCGCACAAGCGGCGGAGCAUGCGGAUUAAUUCGAUGCAACGCGAAGAACCUUACCUGGGCUUGACAUGUUCCCGACAGCCCCAGAGAUGGGGCCUCCCUUCGGGGCGGGUUCACAGGUGGUGCAUGGUCGUCGUCAGCUCGUGUCGUGAGAUGUUGGGUUAAGUCCCGCAACGAGCGCAACCCUCGCCCUGUGUUGCCAGCACGUCGUGGUGGGAACUCACGGGGGACCGCCGGGGUCAACUCGGAGGAAGGUGGGGAUGACGUCAGAUCAUCAUGCCCCUUACGUCCAGGGCUUCACGCAUGCUACAAUGGCCGGUACAACGGGAUGCGACACCGCGAGGUGGAGCGGAUCCCUUAAAACCGGUCUCAGUUCGGAUUGGAGUCUGCAACCCGACUCCAUGAAGGCGGAGUCGCUAGUAAUCGCGGAUCAGCAACGCCGCGGUGAAUGCGUUCCCGGGCCUUGUACACACCGCCCGUCAAGUCAUGAAAGUGGGUAGCACCCGAAGCCGGUGGCCCAACCUUUUUGGGGGGAGCCGUCUAAGGUGAGACUCGUGAUUGGGACUAAGUCGUAACAAGGUAGCCGUACCGGAAGGUGCGGCUG
rnacentral:rRNA from 1 species